AGACCCGAAACCCGGUGAUCUAGCCAUGGGCAGGUUGAAGGUUGGGUAACACUAACUGGAGGACCGAACCGACUAAUGUUGAAAAAUUAGCGGAUGACCUGUGGCUGGGGGUGAAAGGCCAAUCAAACCGGGAGAUAGCUGGUUCUCCCCGAAAGCUAUUUAGGUAGCGCCUCGUGAAUUCAUCUCCGGGGGUAGAGCACUGUUUCGGCUAGGGGGCCAUCCCGGCUUACCAACCCGAUGCAAACUGCGAAUACCGGAGAAUGUUAUCACGGGAGACACACGGCGGGUGCUAACGUCCGUCGUGAAGAGGGAAACAACCCAGACCGCCAGCUAAGGUCCCAAAGUCAUGGUUAAGUGGGAAACGAUGUGGGAAGGCCCAGACAGCCAGGAUGUUGGCUUAGAAGCAGCCAUCAUUUAAAGAAAGCGUAAUAGCUCACUGGUCGAGUCGGCCUGCGCGGAAGAUGUAACGGGGCUAAACCAUGCACCGAAGCUGCGGCAGCGAACGUAUCACCCAAGACAACUUUGCGGAGUUGACGAUUGACGGAGCGAAGCGACGUCAAAGCGUUCAUUAAAGUCGAGUUGGCUUAGGGAUACGUUCGUUGGGUAGGGGAGCGUUCUGUAAGCCAGUGAAGGUGUGUCGUGAGGCAUGCUGGAGGUAUCAGAAGUGCGAAUGCUGACAUAAGUAACGAUAAAGCGGGUGAAAAGCCCGCUCGCCGGAAGACCAAGGGUUCCUGUCCAACGUUAAUCGGGGCAGGGUGAGUCGACCCCUAAGGCGAGGCCGAAAGGCGUAGUCGAUGGGAAACGGGUUAAUAUUCCCGUACUUGGUGUUACUGCGAAGGGGGGACGGAGAAGGCUAUGUUGGCCGGGCGACGGUUGUCCCGGUUUAAGCGUGUAGGCUGGUUUUCCAGGCAAAUCCGGAAAAUCAAGGC
rnacentral:rRNA from 1 species